CGUGCACGGCAAGGUGUUGCGGGGGAUCCGCGAGAGGAACUGGCGGUUUAGCAUGACAAGAUUAGGGAGGUGAUUGUUAGCACUAAUCUUGUCAUGAUGUACCAGCAUGCAUGUUUAGUUUUGAGUUUGCAUGUAGUUUAGAUGAUCUAGGGCAGUGUAUGUAGGCCAAUGAUACUUCAGCUACGCGCGUGAAGAAAGCGAGAUGUCGGGCUGCCGUGCGAUGCGGUGAGCACGGCAAGAUGCCGAUGAUGUCGUGCGAUACGGCGAGGCUGUGAGAAGCAGCGAGACGCGACGAAGCUGGAGGAUGAUGGGCUGCUCGUUCAGGUUGAGCCGAGUGAUUUGGCCAAGCCGUAGUUAGUUAGAGUGUGCUGGUUGGUUGUAGCUAGCUAGCUUCGUGCAUGAAGUAGUAGGCCACGUUGAGACGUGGAGCUAGUUUUAGAUAUGGCCGAGUCGUGUGGCCGUUGGAGUGAUUUCAGGAGUAGGAUAAGGCUGUUAGUGCAUGCAUAGAUUAGUGGGAUUAGUUGCCGAGAGAGGUGGCUGGCCAGUGCGUGUAUGGUCCUUGUAUAUAUAUGUUUCAGUGGAGUAAUGAAGAGAGGAGGCCGAGAGGGCUGAGCAGAGAAACCAUGUAGCCAUUGUGGUUCACCAAGGGAGUGUCUCUGGCAAAGCCGUUCCUCUUCCUUGGUAUAUGCGUGCGUGUGUGUGUGUGUGUUCAUGAGAGAGUUCUUGAGAGAAAACACAAGAGAAUUGUGUGAGAGGGAGAAGAGAGUUGUGAGAGGCAACUCGAGGUAGAAGAAGGAGCGGCGCUGCGAGGAGGCGGCGCCAACAAUUGGCAUCAGAGCCUUGUUGAUCCGUGGCGGCGACGACGGUGCCGGCGGCUAUGGUGGCCGGCGUGGCGCUGGGCGCGAGGUGAUGGCUGGCAGCGGCGCGAUGCCGCGGGCGGCCGGUUGCGGUGCGAUGCCGCGAGAUGAAGGUGGUGCGAUGAUCGGCGUCGCGAGGACGUCAUCCACGACAAGAUGGUCCGUGGUGACCGGCGCUGCGACGGCGUCGGUUGUGGCGCGACGGACUUCAUGCGAGAUGGAGGCCGACGGCGCAAGAAGGAGGAUGGUGGCCAUGCGGUGCCGCUAUGUGAAGAUGGCGGUGCGAAGCUGCCACAAGAAGAGUCGGCGUGAUGCCGACGACGGUGGUGUGAUGCCAUCGUCAUCAUGGAAAGUUGGUGUGAAGCCAACAAAAGUUGCGGUGCGAUGCCGCUUGGCGAAGACGGCGUGGUGAUCGGCGCUGCGACAGCAUGGUCCACGUCGAGAGGAGGCCGCCACGAGCGGCAAGUCGGCAUGGUGACGGACGCUGUGAUGGGGUCGUCCACAACAAGAUGGUGCAUGGUGGUUGGCGCUGCGACGGCGUCGUGCACGGCAAGGUGUUGCGGGCGAUCCGCGAGAGGAACUGGCGGUUUAGCAUGACAAGAUUAGGGAGGUGAUUGUUAGCACUAAUCUUGUCAUGAUGUACCAGCAUGCAUGUUUAGUUUUGAGUUUGCAUGUAGUUUAGAUGAUCUAGGGCAGUGUAUGUAGGCCAAUGAUACUUCAGCUACGGGCGUGAAGAAAGCGAGAUGUCGGGCUGCCGUGCGAUGCGGUGAGCACGGCAAGAUGCCGAUGAUGUCGUGCGAUACGGCGAGGCUGUGAGAAGCAGCGAGACGCGACGAAGCUGGAGGAUGAUGGGCUGCUCGUUCAGGUUGAGCCGAGUGAUUUGGCCAAGCCGUAGUUAGUUAGAGUGUGCUGGUUGGUUGUAGCUAGCUAGCUUCGUGCAUGAAGUAGUAGGCCACGUUGAGACAUGGAGCUAGUUUUAGAUAUGGCCGAGUCGUGUGGCCGUUGGAGUGAUUUCAGGAGUAGGAUAAGGCUGUUAGUGCAUGCAUAGAUUAGUGGGAUUAGUUGCCGAGAGAGGUGGCUGGCCAGUGCGUGUAUGGUCCUUGUAUAUAUAUGUUUCAGUGGAGUAAUGAAGAGAGGAGGCCGAGAGGGCUGAGCAGAGAAACCAUGUAGCCAUUGUGGUUCACCAAGGGAGUGUCUCUGGCAAAGCCGUUCCUCUUCCUUGGUAUAUGCGUGCGUGUGUGUGUGUGUGUUCAUGAGAGAGUUCUUGAGAGAAAACACAAGAGAAUUGUGUGAGAGGGAGAAGAGAGUUGUGAGAGGCAACUCGAGGUAGAAGAAGGAGCGGCGCUGCGAGGAGGCGGCGCCAACAAUUGGCAUCAGAGCCUUGUUGAUCCGUGGCGGCGACGACGGUGCCGGCGGCUAUGGUGGCCGGCGUGGCGCUGGGCGCGAGGUGAUGGCUGGCAGCGGCGCGAUGCCGCGGGCGGCCGGUUGCGGUGCGAUGCCGCGAGAUGAAGGUGGUGCGAUGAUCGGCGUCGCGAGGACGUCAUCCACGACAAGAUGGUCCAUGGUGACCGGCGCUGCGACGGCGUCGGUUGUGGCGCGACGGACUUCAUGCGAGAUGGAGGCCGACGGCGCAAGAAGGAGGAUGGUGGCCAUGCGGUGCCGCUAUGUGAAGAUGGCGGUGCGAAGCUGCCACAAGAAGAGUCGGCGUGAUGCCGACGACGGUGGUGUGAUGCCAUCGUCAUCAUGGAAAGUUGGUGUGAAGCCAACAAAAGUUGCGGUGCGAUGCCGCUUGGCGAAGACGGCGUGGUGAUCGGCGCUGCGACAGCGUGGUCCACGUCGAGAGGAGGCCGCCACGAGCGGCAAGUCGGCAUGGUGACGGACGCUGUGAUGGGGUCGUCCACGACAAGAUGGUGCAUGGUGGUUGGCGCUGCGACGGCGUCGUGCACGGCAAGGUGUUGCGGGCGAUCCGCGAGAGGAACUUGCGGUUUAGCAUGACAAGAUUAGGGAGGUGAUUGUUAGCACUAAUCUUGUCAUGAUGUACCAGCAUGCAUGUUUAGUUUUGAGUUUGCAUGUAGUUUAGAUGAUCUAGGGCAGUGUAUGUAGGCCAAUGAUACUUCAGCUACGCGCGUGAAGAAAGCGAGAUGUCGGGCUGCCGUGCGAUGCGGUGAGCACGGCAAGAUGCCGAUGAUGUCGUGCGAUACGGCGAGGCUGUGAGAAGCAGCGAGACGCGACGAAGCUGGAGGAUGAUGGGCUGCUCGUUUAGGUUGAGCCGAGUGAUUUGGCCAAGCCGUAGUUAGUUAGAGUGUGCUGGUUGGUUGUAGCUAGCUAGCUUCGUGCAUGAAGUAGUAGGCCACGUUGAGACGUGGAGCUAGUUUUAGAUAUGGCCGAGUCGUGUGGCCGUUGGAGUGAUUUCAGGAGUAGGAUAAGGCUGUUAGUGCAUGCAUAGAUUAGUGGGAUUAGUUGCCGAGAGAGGUGGCUGGCCAGUGCGUGUAUGGUCCUUGUAUAUAUAUGUUUCAGUGGAGUAAUGAAGAGAGGAGGCCGAGAGGGCUGAGCAGAGAAACCAUGUAGCCAUUGUGGUUCACCAAGGGAGUGUCUCUGGCAAAGCCGUUCC
rnacentral:lncRNA from 1 species